GGUGGAGGGUUAAAAAAUAUAAUUUCUAGAUUGAGUAAUAUGUAAGGGGAGGAAAGUAGAGAACGUACAACUGGAACUUGACGCAGCUAGCUGGGAACAAGCGUCAGUUUCUGUAAACAGCUCCAUGCUAUUGUUUUAACCAAAUCAAGUGUGGAUCAGGGUAGAAGCGUAGGUAUGAUUUAAGAUAGUAACUAAGGAAUAGGAUAAUCAGUAUCUAGGGGUGGGGGUUAGUUAACAUGUGUAUAAUGUAAACUAUAAAAAUCACGAAUCGACUCUGUAUGCUUUGGACAUCAGAUUUGGGUGUAUUAUCACCCCGGUGUCCCGCGCGCUGGAAUAAAGAACCGCAUAUGAUCGCCUCUGUGUGGUUAUAUGUUUUCCUACGCUAACAUUUUUGGCGACCCAGGUGGGACCUUGUGGGCGCAGCCAGGACCCCGCGACCCGAUCACGCUCCAGCCGGCACCGGGUGAUUUCUCGGGGAGCCCAUCGGAGCCGCGACCCUCGCCGCUCACAACGACCCCUGGUGAGAGAAAGUAGGAAACUAUUUGCCUUUGAGUGGGAACAUCCAGAAAGUGGAAGAAAAACUCAGCUCACCUGGAGUCGAUUACCGAUGGGGUACAAGGGGUCGCCCACUCUCUUUGGAAGUCAACUGGCAAAAGAACUGGAAAUCUGGACCAGAGAAGGAGCCUCAGAAUCUACACGAGCUGCGGAUCUUCCUCGGAAUGACAGGGUGGUGUCGCCUGUGGAUCAUGGACUAUGGACUGAUUGCAAAACCCUUGUACGAGGCUCAGAAGACGCAGCCGUUCACCUGGGGCAAACCACAGAAAGAGGCCUUCCAGAAGUUAAAGGAAGCACUGACAACUGCUCCUGCUUUGGGAUUACCUGAUCUGUCUAAAGACUUUCAGCUGUACGUGCAUGAAAGGCAGCGACUGGCACUGGGAGUCCUGACCCAACGACUGGGAAGCUGGAAAAGGCCGGUGGGUUACUUUUCCAAACAACUCGACAACGUAAGUGCCGGAUGGCCUUCAUGUCUGCGGGCAGUGGCAGCUACCGUGCUGCUGAUACAGGAAGCCAGGAAGCUCACAAUGGGAAGACACAUAGAUGUCUAUGUGCCACACAUGGUAACUACAGUCCUGGAACAAAAGGGGGGCCAUUGGCUCUCUCCAAGCCGGAUGAUGAAGUUUCAGGUAACCCUGACUGAGCAGGAUGAUGUUGCACUAAAAACAACUAACCUCUUGAAUCCAGCUCUAUUUCUAGGUGCCACAGCUGAGGAAGGUCCAUUAGAGCAUGACUGUCUAGAAGUCAUCGAGCACACUUAUUCAGCAAGAACAGAUCUGAAGGAUGUCCCCCUGGAGCAACCAGAGUGGGAACUCUUUACAGAUGGAAGCAGCUUCAUGGAGAACGGAGCCAGAUACGCGGGAUAUGCGGUAACUACAAUUGAUGUAGUAAUAGAGGCAAAAUCACUACCACCUAACACGUCUGCACAAAGGGCAGAACUAAUCGCAUUAACCAGAGCACUCGAGCUGAGUGAAGGGAAGACAGUGAAUAUUUGGACUGAUUCCAAAUAUGCCUUCGGAGUAGUGCAUGUACACGGAGCUUUAUGGAAAGAAAGAGGACUGCUGUCCUCCCAAGGGACAAAUAUUAAACAUCAAGAUGCAGUCCUACAAUUGAUAGAUGCAGUACAAAAACCUGAACAAGUAGCAAUCAUGCACUGCAAGGCACAUCAAUCAGGCAACUCCAAAAUUUGUGAAGGAAAUCGAAAAGCAGAUUGGGCAGCCCGUCAGGUAGCGCGAGAGGUGCAGAAAACAAUGGCAUUGAUACCAUCAAGACUUAAUAUCUCUCAAUUUAAUUUGCCUCCGAAGCCAAACUAUACAAUCGAAGAUGACAGACUAGCACAACUGCUGAAGGCACAGAAGAAUGCAGAAGGGUGGUAUGUAACCGCACAAGGGCAAAUAGUGGUACCUCCUUUGGUAAUGAGAGAAAUUUUACAGGUAAAACAUAAUGAGUGUCACUGGGGUGCAGAGGCGUUGGUAAAGUGGUUAAGACAAUACCUAAUCUCAGUACAGAUGCAAACAAUGGCCAAGUCAGUAAUGUCUAAAUGUGAAAUCUGUCUGAAAAACAAUCCCGUAGCUAGACGACAGGCACAGUUAGGCAGAAUUCGGAUAGGAAUAGAACCAGGAGACUAUUGGCAAGUGGAUUUUGCAGAACUGCCAAAAACUCGGGGAUACAAAUACCUGUUAGUAGGGGUUGACACGUUUUCUGGAUGGCCAGAAGCCCUUCCCUGUCGCACAAACCAAGCAAAGGAAACAGUUAAGUGGUUAUUACAGGAGAUCAUUCCCAGGUUUGGGGUGCCCCUAGGGAUAUCAUCAGACAGAGGCCCACACUUCAUAGCCACGGUGGUACAAGAGGUAAGCAAGUUAUUGGGAUUAUCUUGGGACCUCCACACACCAUGGAGACCCCAGUCAAGUGGGCAAGUAGAAAGAAUGAACCAGACACUGAAGAGGCAGAUCAGUAAAAUAUGCCAGGAAGCCAAACUGCAGUGGCCACAGGCUUUGCCGAUAGCAUUGCUGAGGGUUCGGAUAAAGCCUAGGAGUGGGAUGUCAGUUAGUCCUUAUGAAAUAUUGUAUGGGAAACCAUAUGAAUCUCCUAACCCCAAUCCAAAUGUUCAUGUCACAGGGAAACAAGAUGUGUAUAAUUAUGUUCUGUCCCUCGGGAAAACUCUAGCUCGGCUCCGAAGUGUUCUCGUGUGGAACAGACCACUGGCCCUGGAGAAUCCAGUCCACAAUAUCGAACCAGGAGAUGAGGUAUACAUCAAAACCUGGAACGAAGAACCACUAAAAGAGAAGUGGACUGGUCCCCAUCAGGUACUGCUAACCACCUUUACAGCAGUCAAAGUGGCUGGAGUGGAACCCUGGAUACACUACACACGUGUGAAGAAGGUCCCUCGUGGAGUCCAGUCGUGGGCUGUAGAAACUUUUGGACCAACAAAGCUGAGGCUGAAACGUCUGUAACUGUUCAAAUGGUAUUGGUAACUGUGCUCAUGCUCUUCCUGUGGGUAAUGUUAAUUUCAUGGAUACUAAUGUCACCAGUAGGGAUUGCUGUUACUUUGGGAUAUGGGAUACAGAAGGGUCAACUAACAACUCUUCAUUCUAGAAUGAAGAAAGAGAUACAGGCAAAAACACAAGUAAUAGAAAUUUCUAAUGAAAUUCGGGCUGAGAAUGUAAUGAUUGGAUUGGUCAGAGACUUUGCUAAAAUGCAUAAUACCAGCAGAAUAACGGCCUGUCUGCCAAUACCAAAGGCAGCAGGGGACCCAGUAAGCUGGGGAAUAAUAACGUCAAAAUUACCUGAAAUAGGAGGGAACAAAACAAUUAACUGUAAACAAGUACCAGAGUCAAGGGUGGUGGUCAGAGAAUACUGGAAGAUAACAGAGGAUUCCUAUAUGCAACCCAUGAGAAAGUCGGAGUGCAUUCUUAGUAAUGGCAAAUUGGGACAAAUCAUAGAGUGGUGGGUUAAGGACCAAGACCUUGCAAAAUGGCAAUGUUGGUUUCUACGCUAUCAAAAGAUCAGGGACAACGCUACAGAAAGUGUUGUGGUGUGGAAAUGUGAAGAGAAGGAUUGGAAAGGACUGGAACCUUGGGACAGUGCAUGGUCUGUGAGCAUCCUCCAGAAAUUCCAAUAUAUGGAAAGCACACCCUGGUGCAUUAAAUGGAAAGGCUCUGAAAAUGAGACAGAUCCCACAGUGGCAAAUACUGAUACUAGCAGUCAGAAAGAGGCAAAUAAGGUAAGUUGGUGGGUAUGUAAGAAAAUUUAUGAUUGCACCUCUGACAAUCUAGAAAUGAAACAGUGGUCACCAUUGGCAAUAGCCUUACGAAUUGGUUGUGCCUGCAGGAAAAUUAAACACAAACAAGGCAAAAUAGAUUCUAAGAUUAUAGUAGGAUGUAGCAGGAGUACCAUUCGAAGUCCAGGACCAUUUGUAUGGGCAAUGAGUGAUGGCACAUGGACAACACACUUGCCUAUGGACGGGGAGGUAAGAGAAAUCACCCUGGGCCUUCCCACUUUAUGUCCAAUUUGGAAGAAAUCCCCAUUUAACAGGAGCAGUGAAGCCUUGCAAAUAAAAGCAAAGCGAGAUGUCUCAGAAGACAAGAACCCAGAUGACACUUGGAAGGAACCCUCUAGUGGAGUAAAGAUUGGGUGGGCCCUAGAAUCCUUGUUUGGUCCCAUUGCAAAUUAUCGAAAUAGAGAAAUGCUAUAUAGACUCACAGGUCAGGUAGACAGAUUAGCAAGAAUCACACGAGAGGGAUUUAGGGAACUCAAUGUGCAAUUACAGGCCACCACCAAAAUGACCCUGCAAAAUCGUUUGGCUUUAGAUAUGUUACUUUUGAAAGAACACGGAGUGUGUGGAUAUUUAAAAAGACAAAUCGACCAUUGCUGCAUCCACAUCCCAAAUGUAACUGCAAAUGUAGAACAUGACAUCAGUCAGCUAAAACAAAUAGAGCAUGAAGCACAAAAGGAACAAAAGAUUUAGCUACUAGCUGGUUGGGUAAAAUCUUUGAAAGAUUAAGAUGGAAUGUGAGUUCAUGGAUAAAGUCUAUCCUUAAAAAUCUGAUAAUUUUACUGAUUAUAUUUUUAGUAAUUUAGUUAAUUUACAGAAUCCUGAAGAGAGAGAUACAGAAAAAGGCAUCUUGGAACAGGACCAUAAUGAAGGCAUUGGCACGGAACCCAGCACCUUCAAUCCGCAACAACAUCCCAGACAAAGCCUAUGACAACAGAGGAUUUGAAGAUGAACAUCCACAGAAGAGAGCUGGAGAGGUCUGUAUGGCGUGUCCACGCAGGGCAGGGAGGAUCAGAGGUGAAUGAACAGGUUGGGAUGGAAACAGCUGAUGUUAUUUGUGGCCCAUCAGCAAGGCUGGACAAACACACGAGUGCCAAGGCUGGACUGCACAGUGCUGUACCCCACCGCACUGGGAUUUACUGAUCAUCUCACCCAUUGAGGGAAUUCCCUGCCGUGCUCCCCUGGGCACCAGAGGCACACCCAUAGAGCCUCAGAGCUCAGCCCACAAGCCUCUGGUAGUGAUUUAACCCAAGCUCCCAUACACUGAAAAACAUGGAACGUCGUAGUUUUUCUGCUGCAGAAUGCAAACAACCAUCCUUAUUUAUACAGAGACAGAAAAUGAGACAAAGGAUUGGCAGAACUGCAAUGAAAGUCAUAAAAAUCGUCUUGUAGUAACCACUACUUUUGCCCAAAAUAAGCUGCUUUGUGCACUGAACUAUGUAACUUAAAAGCACCUCAUCUUCCAUAAUUCACCACUCUCUCCAAUAUAUGAACUUAUUUUCUCAAUUCUUCUUUUAGCACACGUCCCCCCAUUUUUUCAAAUGAAGGACUCAAUAUCUGUAAUUCUAAUAUUUUAGGGUUUAUUUUUGCAAGACACUUUUAAAUGGAUAAAUAAUGAAUAGAAGAUAAUUCAGCCUGCAAAAUGAUGGUAAAUUGAAAGAGACAAUAGUUUACCAAUGAAUACAUAAGAAUCAUUCAGCAAUGUCUGUAGCUGAGACACUGAUGGGUUAGUGUAUUUGGAUACUGGUAAUUUCUCUAGGAAGGAAAAGUGAGUAGACAGCAGAGAUCAAAUCACUAAAUUGUCCUAUUACACUUUUAUUUAGAAAUGUAAAAUUCAUGCAGACAGACUUUGAAUAGACUGGAUUUUAACAGCAAAGUAAUGCAAUUCAAGCUCAGGCACCAGCUAGCAGCAAAGAUAUUUUUCACCAUCUGCUUUUGGAAAAUCCAGAUUCUUGUUCCCAGUACAGCUCCCACACAUUUUCUCUGAGUGUUCAUCUUCUAUCCUAAAAGAUUUUUAACCUGGUUAUACUUCUGAAUUCAAAACCCUGUGUAAAUUCAUGUCCCUUCCUGAAGUCAAUGGCAAAGCUCACUUAAGACUUCAAUAAGCCAAAUAAAUUGCCCUUUAAAUUUUAGAAGUCUGAAGUUGGCCAUCUGGCUCCAGAUGGUCUGAAACUACUCUUUCAGGACUGAUUCUCCAGAGCUAUCUCAGAGAGCAGAUUCCGUUCCUGCUGGGAUUGGAGCCAUCAAGUCUAGGGUCACUUUGCCAACACAAAUGGGAAGCCACUUCUACCAGUGAACAGCCCACCUGCUUUUCAGUCAGUUCUCCUUACCCUCCCUUUCACCCAACUGCUGACAUUUAUUUUACCAACAAUUACACAUACCCUCCCCCAUCAAAACAGAAAGUUAGAUGCCCUAAGUUAUAUGGAAAUAACAUUACUGAUCAUUCUAGUUCUGUGUAUCUCUGCAUUAUUACCAGUGUAUAUUCUGCAUUGUAUCAGUAUCUAUUCUGUGUAUUUUAUAUACACAUCUAUGUAUCAGGCAGGGAAGACAGGAGACAGGCAUGGCUGAGCCGGAAUCUGCUGGUUGAACUAAAGAGAAAGACAGCUGAAGCAAGGACAGGGAAGUCACCCAGGAAAAGUAUGGAAACAAAGGUUGGUUGUAUAGGGUGACCAAGAUGAGGCUGGGACUGAACCUGACAAAGGAAGCAAAGAAUAACAGGAAGAGCUUCUAAAAGUAUGAUAACCAGAAAAGGAAGAUCAGGGAGGUGUACCCUCAUAAUAAACAGCACUGGAAAAGUAGUAGCAAUGAUGAGGAUAAGGCUGAGGUACUCAGAGUCCUGAGGGAAUUGGGUGAUGUAAUAUCUCCGCGAUAUUUGAAAAGUCACAGUAAACAGGUCCCAGGUUGACUGGAAAAAGGGAAAUAUUGCACUUGUCUUUAAAAAGAGAGUAGAAAGGAAGAUCCUGGGAACUACCAACCUAUCCGACUCACCUCUGUGACCGGGAAGAUCAUGGAACAGAUCCUCCUAAAAAUUGUUCUUCAUGGAGAAGCUGUCCAUGGAAAAGGACAAGGAGAUAAUUCAAGUGGCCAGCAGAGUUCCACCAAGGGCAAGUCCUACCUGACCAACCCCAUGGUUUUCUGUGAUGGAGUGACUGCAUCAGUGGACAAGGGGAAGGACUACAGAUGUCUUUUAUUUGAACUUCUAUCCCAACUUCUAAGAAGUUCCCCACAACAUCCUUCUCUCUACAUGGGAGAGAGGUGGAUUUGAUGAGUGGACUGCUAGAUGGAUAACAAAGUGGUUGGAUGCAUCCAGAGGGUAGUGGACAAUAGCUCUGAGUCCAGAUGGUCAUCAGUGACAAAUGGUGUCCCUCCCAGAUCCAUACUGGGAUCAGUGUUACUUAAUAUCUUCAUUAACGACAGAGAUGAAGGAAUUGAGUGCACCCUCAGCAAAUUUGCAGAUGACUGAGGGCUGAGCUUGCCACACUAGGAGGGCGGGAUGUCAUCCAGAAGGACCUGGACAAGCUGAAGAAGUGGGAAGUGAGACUCCCAUGGGAGUAUCAAAAGAUGGAGUAAGACAAAGUGCAAGGUGCUGCACCUGGGUUGGGGAUGAACAGAUCCAAACCAGCCCUGUUGAGAAGAGCCCCAGGAUUCUGGGGGAUGAGAGGCUGGGCACGAGCUGGCAGCGUGUGCUCACAGCCCAGAGAACCAGACGUGCCCUGGGCUGCAUCCAAAGCCCUGAGGGCAGCAGGGCAAGGGAGGAGAUUCUGCCCCUCUGCUCCAGCCCAGAGACCCCACCUGCAGGGCUGCACCCAGCCCGGGCUCCCAGCACUGCCAGGACAGGGACCUGCUGGGGUGAGUCCAGAGGAGGCCACCACAGUGAUCAGAAGGAUGGAACAUCUGUCCUGUGAGGAAAGGCUGAGAGAAUUGGGAUUGUUCAGACAGGAGAAAGCUUCAGGGUGACUCAAUUGUGAACUUCCAGUACCUGAAGGGAGCCGACAGCAAAGACAGAGAGGGGUUUUUUACUAGGGCACGUAGU